AGGGUUCGAUUCUGGCUCAGGAUGAACGCUGGCGGCGUGCCUAACACAUGCAAGUCGAACGAGCGAGAGAUGAAACCUAGUGAUUCUCGAGCGAGUGGCGGACGGGUGAGUAACGCGUGGGUAACCUGCCUUACAGAGGGGGAUAACAGUCUAGAAAAGACUGCUAAUACCGCAUAAGCACACAGUACCGCAUGGUACAGGGUAGAAAAGAUUUAUCACUGUAAGAUCGGACCCGCGUCUGAUUAGCCAGUUGGCAGGGUAACGGCCUACCAAAGCGACGAUCAGUAGCCGACCUGAGAGGGUGAUCGGCCACAUUGGGACUGAGACACGGACCCAAACUCCUACGGGAGGCAGCAGGUGGGGGAUAUUGCACAAUGGAGGAAACUCUGAUGCAGCGACGCCGCGUGAGUGAAGAAGUAUUUCGGUAUGUAAAGCUCUAUCAGCGAGGGAAGAUAAUGACAGUACCCGACCAAGAACGCCCCGGCUAACUACGUGCCAGCAGCCGC
rnacentral:rRNA from 1 species